GAAGAGAAAAUGAGAGAGAGAGAGAGAGAGAGAGAGAGAGAGAAAGAGAGAGAGAGAAUGAGAAUAAGAUAAUAAAUCGGAGUCUUUAGAGCUCCAAAUUCUUCCUACUUUCCUUUCCUACUCCCGAGGACAUUUUUAGAUCAAUGAAUGUUGUCAAUGUACGCGUCGCUUUAGAUUCGCUUUUCGCGGAUCGAUCGAGUAAGCUUGAUUCAUACGACUCGUAUAGCCAUCGUCAGAAAAUAGGCCGAAUCAAUAAAACAUUGUGCUAUAUAAUUUUGCCAUUUCAACAUACUUUAUGUUUUAUGGUAAAUAUAUUACACAGCAUUCUCUUUCAGAACACGGAUAUUUUAAGGUUGCUGCAACGUUUUCGAAAACGUUACAGUAACAUCGCGGAAUGUAUUUGCAAUCAUUGCAAAAUAUAUAUCCUUGCAAUGCAUAAUCUUUCAUAUGGAUAAUCGAUUUUGACGAUAAUUGUGCUGAUUAGUGUGAAUCAGACUUGAAUCGUCGAGACGCGAAUCGAGGAAUUCGAAAGGGAGGGAUUCGCGGAGAUGCUUAAUGAAUCGACGAUAAUAAUCACCGGUCAUUUUGUCAUUGAUUUAUGCGCUGCUGACUGAGUUUGAAGGUCGGAAAACUUUGAUGUUUCGAAAUAAAAGUAAGGUUCGAACGUUGUACUUUA